rfam:Canis lupus familiaris chromosome 13, whole genome shotgun sequence.
AGGAGCAACAGCCCCAGUGGCUGCCGCAGCUCUGCAGCCCUGGAGUCAGCCCCCGCAGUAGCUCCACAGCUCUCGGUCUGCAGGGCCUGGAGGCUCCGGGGCGGG